ensembl:lncRNA
CUCUUUUAAACUGCUGAGGGGGGAUGUUUCAUCGCCUUUUCUCAUGGGGGUCGGCGAUGGUGCUCCAUGUAUGGUUUGGAUCAACACUGCUGCCGAUGGAAAAGCAAGAGUAAGCCAGCUGUUUAGAUAAGCUGAUGUAAAAAUUCCCCCGAGCCCCUCAUCAUGGCUGGUUGCCUUACCAAGGUCAAGAGAGUGCAUCACCACACCAACAGUGUUUCAUCAGCGUAUUAUGGGAAUGCAGAAGGUGAAGACGGGAAGGAAAAGGCCUGAGGGCUUUGAUGACACGCCAUGAGCCUGUGGUCUGUGUUUCUGACGUUCUCACCACACAGACCUGAGGAUCAUUAGGGUUUAAUCUUUAGCCCUUAAUUCCCCUGUUCUACAGCAGGCUAACCUAACUGUAUGACCUUUGCCCUGCUCCAAAGAAAAUCCUUGACCUUGACUUGGCUAAGUCUGUUUUAACAAGAACCCAUCGAAAGGCUUGGCCUUUGUAUCUCACACCUUACAUUUUGGGGUGAAAAAUCAGUUCAAAUAUAUAUAAACACACAAUGUGUGAGACAAUUAUUUUUUCAUAUCAACUGUAUUUACUCCAUCACCAUCCAUGUUUGAACUGAGGUUGAAACAGUUAAUGGUUUUCGAGGCCAUCUCUGUAAUUGGUUUUGCAGAACCAAUCAACAGGGUGCUUAAUGCUAUGGAAAUUAAAAACAAAGCUGUUUCUUUGAUGUGUGUCUUCUACGCCUGACAACGGGGAGUGAAGGUUAAAACCCAAUGAGCAUGGUCUUUAAACAAGAGGCUGUUUAAAAAGUGCAACACAAUUCCAGGAAAUAUAACACCAAUGAGUACAGAAAGGAUAAAUACUUCAUUAGAUUGUUUUAAAAAGCAGCAGAGCCUUUGAAGAAAAAGAAACCCUAGGGUAUUAUUUCCUUAGUUGGAGGUGCGAAUCAUCAUCAUCAUCACUAUCAUCAUUGCAAUUAAAACGCUCACUCUCACAAUACUUAAUGAAGGAUUCUCCUGUAGUUCCCUAUCUUCCCCUUGGUAGCCUGGCUGUCAACUUCAUUAGCAACAAGCCGUAGUACUAAUCUGACCUCAGCGUGCUGAGUCUUCAGAGGAUCCAUGUCUGUAAAGUGUCAGGGUUGAGUCACUCCAAAUCGC